rnacentral:rRNA from 1 species
GACGUAGGGCGCGAGCGUUGUCCGGAUUUAUUGGGCGUAAAGGGUCCGCAGGUGGCAGUGUAAGUCUGCUGUCAAAGAAUGAGGCUUAACCUUAUCAAGGCAGUGGAAACUACACAGCUAGAGUACGGUCGGGGUAGAAGGAAUUCCUGGUGUAGCGGUGAAAUGCGUAGAGAUCAGGAAGAACACCGGUGGCGAAAGCGUUCUGCUAGACCUGUACUGACACUGAGGGACGAAAGCUAGGGGAGCGAAUGGG